UGGGGGAUAUUGCACAAUGGGCGAAAGCCUGAUGCAGCGACGCCGCGUGGGGGAUGAAGGCCUUCGGGUUGUAAACUUCUUUUGCUCUGAACAAGGCAUGCCUUUGGGGUGUGUUGAGUGUAGGGGUUGAUUAGCGCCGGCUAACUACGUGCCAGCAGCCGCGGUAAUACGUAGGGCGCGAGCGUUGUCCGGAAUUAUUGGGCGUAAAGGGCUUGUAGGUGGCUGGUUGCGUCUGUCGUGAAAGCUCAUGGCUUAACUGUGGGUUGGCGGUGGGUACGGGCUGGCUUGAGUGCAGUAGGGGAGGCUGGAAUUCCUGGUGUAGCGGUGGAAUGCGCAGAUAUCAGGAGGAAUAACGGUGGCGAAGGCGGGUCUCUGGGCUGUUACUGACGCUGAGGAGCGAAAGCGUGGGGAGCGAACAGG
rnacentral:rRNA from 1 species